AGAAAAUUUGGUUAAGCUACAUUCACACUGGUAAAACAAAACUACAUUGAAGCAAAUAUUUUCCAAGGGGUUUAUAUCCUGCAGGCUUUUGUACUACAGUAUAUGUGGUUGUAGGCAUGCCUCACUGGUGGUGUGUUGUGGGGGCUGCAGUCCCUGAAAUCACUGUAAAUUCAGUUUCAAAUACCCUGUUCAGAAAUAAACUACAAAGUGCAAAAAAUUUUGUAUACAGUACAAGUCCAUGAGGUAAAAGAGAUGGAUAUAAAUUUGUGAAUUGGCUUCCUAACACAUUUCUAGGUAAGGCCAUCACUGACAACAAUGUCACUCUGGUGCAGCUCAAGGUGGCCAUCACCUUUAGCGGCAGACAGCAGGAGAGACAUCAUCAGGGAUUGGCUUCUAUUGGUGUGUCUCAAUGACCUCGAUGCCCACACCAACCUCACCAGCCACAGGACCAUCCUUAUGGGUUGGGGCACAGGGGAGGGGAUGAUCGCUGUGGUGAGGACAAUAAAUGGGAGUGCAUGCUCACAGCGUUAUGAGGGGCGCAAUGUGGGCAUCAGUGUUUCCUCCCUCUGUGCUGCCCCUGUCAGUGCCACCCAGCAGGACUUUUGCAAGUGUCUGAAAUGGUGGAACUGUGUAGCAGACUUGGGCCAACGGAAGUGUAGUACAGUACUGUGCAGUUUGAGGACGUCAUAAAGGUUACUGAGCAUCAGUUAGCCCCCAUGUGGGUGCCACCUGUCACACUUAAAGCCAUUGGUAUGUAUAAUAUGCCUUUUUUUGGAGAGGGAGGAUUUAAAAGAGAAAUCAGGACCAAGAAAGAAUAGAUCAUGUUAGUAAUAAUAGUGUAGUUGGAUCCUUGCUCAUGAUAGAUACUUGUGGUAUAUUUUGUAUAGAAAAAUAUUAUUGACUUCUUGUUAAUUUUAUUACUGUGCAACCGUAGCUGUCAUGUACAGGUUACAAAUAUAUUUAUUUUAAUUGUGAUGUAACGGCUUUACUCAUUGUAGGGGAUAUUUUUGAACAGGCUCACUCAACUUUGGCUCAUGGGUGAAAAAAAAGUAAAGUUGAUAACUUACAAUACUUAGGGCUUAUAAGUAUGAGCUUGUCUCUGAAAUGAAAGCUGACCUGAAGUGGGCUGUUGUAACUGUAUUUUGGUCUGUUCAACCUUAUAGAGAAGCAAUGAACUUCUGUACUGUAUUUAUAAUGAUGGUCUUAUUCAGUACACCCAUUAUUUAUUGGUGUGAAGUACGAAUGAACUUCACAUUCAGCUUGAAAUUCAAUAUUAUCACUUUGGGUCAACUUUUACAACAUUUACAGUAUAUAGUACCAAGUAUAUGAAUCUUAUCCCUCAAAUAGAAUCUUGCUGAUGAUACUAGUUGAUUUGAAUACUUAUAAAAUCUAGUAAUGUGAAAGACAACUGACUCUGAAUCAUAGGUCCAUGAUUCGAUUGCGGGGUAAUUAGUGGUCGUAAUGAUGCUUGGAAGAUUUUAAUUACACCUUACCCGAUGGUGCCCCAGCCCAGCAUUACCCCCAGCAAACCACGCCUGCGCCUCCUUCACCAGUCUGCCCACCGUUGCUACUUGCAGCACCACCUCGUCCACAACAUUUCUUGGUGCCGUCUUUUCAUCCUCAGGUACCCACUGCUCUUGGUCCUGCUCCUGAUGAUCCUGCACCUGGCCCUGUAGACCCAGACAUCCCACCCAGCGCCCCCGAGGACUUCGCAUCUGCCGCGAGAGAAGCAUCACGUUCCUCGCUUAUUCCUCCCACCGCUCACCCUUCUCAUAUGUACAACCCUCCCACUCCCAAUGCUUUUCCUGCUGAUUCUCCCACAGAUUAUGAGCCAUUCGACGGAGUUGUCACUCAGCGGCCGAGUGGUUCGCACCCCUUCCUGCCAUGCCUCGCACGUGGGAUGCCAUUAUGCUUACAACAAGCAUCCUGCAGCGCCCGGAGGGGAGGGGGAGUAUUGUAUUGGUUAACUUUCCCUACAGGUGCUUGGCCUACUCGAGCCACCCUCCCUCACUGGCAGCUGUCCUCACCAUCAGCCAAUCAGCAGCGCCGC